AUGCAGCUUCCCACGUCGCCAAUGGAGGGGAAUAACAGGGAUCACAACGACAGUUCCCACAGCCAACAACUGGACAACGAAGAUAGACUCAGCGCUCUAACUGAUGAUAUUUUACUGUCCAUCUUGGGGAGAGUCAGUUCACUUGUGGCUACAAGGACAAGUGUGCUCUCUACACGGUGGAGGCAUCUGCCUUGGUUGCUGCCUGAACUCAGCAUCGAUGUCCAGGAUUUCCUAUCCGCUCCAUACGCUGACCUUGUUGAGGCAAAUGAUAUGGAACAAGCCAUGGUGUCUUUGUCCAAAGCAACCAGGAGUUUGUUAGAUAAACAACAGAGAGGAUCCACUAUCUCAAGUUUGCGCCUUAACCUCUAUUUGAUCAACACUUUCCUUUGCGAAGUUGGCCCACUGUUAGGUGAUGCAAUCGACAGUGGUUUGUUGAAAGAUUUAGAUCUCGGCAUUCUUGAUGAGACAAAGACUCUGGACCGUAGAGACGAAGAGAUGCAACAGCGAGCUCAAGACAUAGAUGUUUUUUUCACUACCUACCCUAGUGUGCUCCACUACCUCACAAAGCUCUUUCUAAAAAAUGUAGGCUUUGACAAAUUGGACAUGCACCAUGUCCUGUUUGACUGCUGCAAGCAACUUAAGCAUCUAACCCUUUAUCAUUGUGAUACUGGUUCCUACUCUGUCUUUAAGAUUGAUGCGCCAGACUCAAAACUCUGUGUUCUUGAAAUUGAGAAGUGUCGCUUUCUGAGAAUCGACCUUGUCUGCCUCCCCAAAUUGGAGAAGUUCUUUUGUGAGUCUUGGAUAUCUCAGUGUGCCCCAUUGACCUUUGGUUUUGUCCCAUCACUUGGGCAAUUAGAACUCUCAUGUGGUUCAGUUUGUGAGGAAGACAUAUUUAAAUUAAGUGAGCUUCUACAUGGAGUAACAAGCAUACAUACUCUCUCAUUGGAUUUCCAAGGUGAAGCCCUUUGGUUGCAACCUGAAAUGGAGGAACUCCGCACCGCAUUCAGCAAGCUAAGGAAGCUGUACGUACGUUGUAUAUUUGUUGAAUUUGACAUUUUAUGGACAACGGCCUUUCUUGUAGCAGCACCAUCUGUCGAAAUGUUACAUAUUGAGGUAUGGGAACAUACAUGCGAUUUGGGCGAGGCCAGACCCGCUUCCUACCUUGACAGGAGUCCAAAGUGGGAAAUGCACUUGGAUAGCAGCUCCGAGAACAAGUUUCUGAAAGAGCUAGAAUUCGCUGGAUUUAAAUCGCUAGAACAACAGUUUACAUUUAUAAGGUCCAUGUUGGAGCGAUCUCCCAACUUGCAAAAGAUAGUAUUGAGAGAUGAUGAGCAGUGUGCUGAUUGUGGCGCCCUUGAGGCACCUCGUCUUUCGAGAUUUCCACGCAAGGAGGAGCAAGAAGUGGUUGUUAAGCGGAUUAGAGAUGGCAUGUUCUCGCCGGAGAUAAAUUUUCAUGGAUAA
rnacentral:rRNA from 1 species